rnacentral:pre_miRNA from 1 species
GGGAGGAACAGCCCCAGUGGCGGGCAGCUCUGGAAACCUGGAGUCAGCUCCGGCAGGAACUCCUUCUGCAGGGCCUGGAGGCUCCGGGGCGGG